CCUACGGGAGGCAGCAGUAGGGAAUCUUCCACAAUGGACGAAAGUCUGAUGGAGCAACGCCGCGUGAGUGAAGAAGGGUUUCGGCUCGUAAAGCUCUGUUGGGAGUGAAGAAAGAUAGAGGUAGUAACUGGCCUUUAUUUGACGGUAAUUACUUAGAAAGUCACGGCUAACUACGUGCCAGCAGCCGCGGUAAUACGUAGGUGGCAAGCGUUGUCCGGAUUUAUUGGGCGUAAAGGGAACGCAGGCGGUCUUUUAAGUCU
rnacentral:rRNA from 1 species